rnacentral:rRNA from 1 species
UACGUAGGUGGCAAGCGUUGUCCGGAUUUACUGGGCGUAAAGGAUGCGUAGGCGGACAUUUAAGUCAGAUGUGAAAUACCCGAGCUUAACUUGGGUGCUGCAUUUGAAACUGGGUGUCUAGAGUGCAGGAGAGGUAAGUGGAAUUCCUAGUGUAGCGGUGAAAUGCGUAGAGAUUAGGAAGAACACCAGUGGCGAAAGGCGACUUACUGGACUGUAACUGACGCUGAGGCAUGAAAGCGUGGGGGAGCAAACAGG